rnacentral:rRNA from 1 species
CCCUUAGAUGUUCUGGGCUGCACGCGCGCUACACUGAUGCGCUCAACGAGUUUACGACCUUGCCCGGAAGGGUUGGGUAAUCUUUUUAAAACGCAUCGUGAUAGGGAUAGACUAUUGCAAUUAUUGGUCUUCAACGAGGAAUUCCUAGUAGACGUAGUUCAUCAGACUGCAUCGAUUACGUCCCUGCCCUUUGUACACACCGCCCGUCGCUCCUACCGAUUGAAUGCUCAGGUGAGCCAUUCGGACUUUCAUCAUGCUGGUUUCCAGUUUUGAUGAAGGAAAGUCUUGCGAACCUUAUCAUUUAGAGGAAGGAGAAGUCGUAACA